rnacentral:rRNA from 1 species
AACGAACGCUGGCGGCAUGCCUAACACAUGCAAGUCGAACGAGACCUUCGGGUCUAGUGGCGCACGGGUGCGUAACGCGUGGGAAUCUGCCCUUGGGUUCGGAACAACAGUUGGAAACGACUGCUAAUACCGGAUGAUGACUUCGGUCCAAAGAUUUAUCGCCCAGGGAUGAGCCCGCGUAGGAUUAGCUUGUUGGUGAGGUAAAAGCUCACCAAGGCGACGAUCCUUAGCUGGUCUGAGAGGAUGAUCAGCCACACUGGGACUGAGACGCGGCCCAGACUCCUACGGGAGGCAGCAGUGGGGAAUAUUGGACAAUGGGCGAAAGCCUGAUCCAGCAAUGCCGCGUGAGUGAUGAAGGCCUUAGGGUUGUAAAGCUCUUUUACCCGGGAUGAUAAUGACAGUACCGGGAGAAUAAGCCCCGGCUAACUCCGUGCCAGCAGCCGCCGUAAGAC